UAUGACCCACCUUAGGGGAGGUUGUUGAACCUUCGAAAGCAUUACACAAAUCACCACCAUGCAUUAAUCAUGUCACUUUGCUCAUGCAUAUCAUUCACCUGGCAUAUCAUGAAGUCUUGUAAAACAAACAAGAAAAGCCAAAGUCUAGUCUUUAUUGGCACCUCCAAGAAAAAUCAAAGCCCAACUAUAUUGGCGUUCUGCAUAUAAUAAUC
rnacentral:lncRNA from 1 species